rnacentral:rRNA from 1 species
AUUGAACGCUGGCGGCAGGCUUAACACAUGCAAGUCGAGCGGGGUGAUGGUGCUUGCACUAUCACUUAGCGGCGGACGGGUGGGUAAUGCUUAGGAAUCUGCCUAUUAGUGGGGGACAACAUCUCGAAAGGGAUGCUAAUACCGCAUACGUCCUACGGGAGAAAGCAGGGGAUCACUUGUGACCUUGCGCUAAUAGAUGAGCCUAAGUCGGAUUAGCUAGUUGGUGGGGUAAAGGCCUACCAAGGCGACGAUCUGUAGCGGGUCUGAGAGGAUGAUCCGCCACACUGGGACUGAGACACGGCCCAGACGCCUACGGGAGGCAGCAGUGGGGAAUAUUGGACAAUGGGGGGAACCCUGAUCCAGCCAUGCCGCGUGUGUGAAGAAGGCCUUAUGGUUGUAAAGCACUUUAAGCGAGGAGGAGGCUCUUUUGGUUAAUACCCAAGAUGAGUGGACGUUACUCGCAGAAUAAGCACCGGCUAACUCUGUGCCAGCCGCCGCCGUAA